rnacentral:rRNA from 1 species
CUUUAUUGGAGAGUUUGAUCCUGGCUCAGGAUGAACGCUGGCGGCGUGCCUAAUACAUGCAAGUCGAGCGAAUGGAUUAAGAGCUUGCUCUUAUGAAGUUAGCGGCGGACGGGUGAGUAACACGUGGGUAACCUGCCCA